UACGAGUGCCCCAAGCGUUAUCCGGAAUUACUGGGCGUAAAGAGCGUGUAGGCGGUUUGGUUAGUCUCUCGUUAAAGCUCCCGGCUUAACCGGGAAAAGGCGAGAGAAACGGCCAGACUAGAGGGUGCGAGGGGUCUAUGGAACUCAUGGUGUAGGGGUGAAAUCCGUUGAUAUCAUGGGGAACACCGAAAGCGAAAGCAGUAGACUAGCGCACCUCUGACGCUGAGACGCGAAAGCGUGGGGAUCAAACGGG
rnacentral:rRNA from 1 species